rnacentral:rRNA from 1 species
UGGGGAAUAUUGGACAAUGGGCGAAAGCCUGAUCCAGCAAUGCCGCGUGAGUGAUGAAGGCCCUAGGGUUGUAAAGCUCUUUUACCCGGGAUGAUAAUGACAGUACCGGGAGAAUAAGCUCCGGCUAACUCCGUGCCAGCAGCCGCGGUAAUACGGAGGGAGCUAGCGUUGUUCGGAAUUACUGGGCGUAAAGCGCACGUAGGCGGCUUUGUAAGUUAGAGGUGAAAGCCUGGAGCUCAACUCCAGAAUUGCCUUUAAGACUGCAUCGCUUGAAUCCAGGAGAGGUGAGUGGAAUUCCGAGUGUAGAGGUGAAAUUCGUAGAUAUUCGGAAGAACACCAGUGGCGAAGGCGGCUCACUGGACUGGUAUUGACGCUGAGGUGCGAAAGCGUGGGGAGCAAACAGG